AUGCACGCUGGCGGCGUGCCUCAUACAUGCAAGUCGCGCGAACGGACGAGAAGCUUGCUUCUCUGAUGUUAGCGGCGGACGGGUGAGUAACACGUGGAUAACCUACCUAUAAGACUGGGAUAACUUCGGGAAACCGGAGCUAAUACCGGAUGAUAUUUUGAACCGCAUGGUUCAAAAGUGAAAGACGGUCUUGCUGUCACUUAUAGAUGGAUCCGCGCUGCAUUAGCUAGUUGGUAAGGUAACGGCUUACCAAGGCAACGAUGCAUAGCCGACCUGAGAGGGUGAUCGGCCACACUGGAACUGAGACACGGUCCAGACUCCUACGGGAGGCAGCAGUAGGGAAUCUUCCGCAAUGGGCGAAAGCCUGACGGAGCAACGCCGCGUGAGUGAUGAAGGUCUUCGGAUCGUAAAACUCUGUUAUUAGGGAAGAACAUAUGUGUAAGUAACUGUGCACAUCUUGACGGUACCUAAUCAGAAAGCCACGGCUAACUACGUG
rnacentral:rRNA from 1 species